rnacentral:lncRNA from 1 species
UACCAAUUAGUGAAUCUUUAAACUUUUGCACCAAUAGUGUUGUUUUUUAAUAGGGUUCAUAAAAAAGGGAAAAAUCACCCAGAAAGUGUGACAGCCUUUAGCCUAACCUUAUUAAUGUGUUUUUGAAUUAUAAACUUGUCCCCCUAAUGGAAUUUGUUAAAACUUAAAGGAGAUGCCUUAUCAUUUUCAAAAAGGACAUUGCCCUGAGUUGGGUAUUAGGUGUGACCUAUCAGAUCAAAUCACAUGUGUUCUCUCCCUUCUUUUCUUCUCUCCUGAUC